UACUGCGUCUGCUGACACUGGAAUGAUGUCAAGGAGCUUUUUUUCUAUAUCACCAUCCAGGUCGAAGCCAAAAGCCUUUGCCAGAAGUCGAGAAGCCACAACACACCUCUGCAUCUCGUCUCUGAAGACUGCGUCCAGCGUUAGCAACAGCAACAACGGUGACUCACUCGCCGCGGAUGUCCUCCUCGGUGAACGGGACGUCCUCGAUCAGCACGGCCGACUUCGCGCUGAAGAAGAUUCCCAACAUCGCCUGGAAGAAAAGAGCAGAGCGGAUCAACACGAGGCUCCAGGUUUCACUUUAUAUCAGCUGCUCGUGUUUAUUUUGUGAAAAAAUUAGGUUCCAUCUGGUGUUUUUCAAAAAAGCUUCAUAUGUUUCUAUCAAUAAAGAACUCAGAAUAACUCUGACGUC